rnacentral:ncRNA from 2 species
UACGAAGGGGGCUAGCGUUGCUCGGAAUUACUGGGCGUAAAGGGCGCGUAGGCGGGUCGUCAAGUUGGGGGUGAAAGCCCGGGGCUCAACCUCGGAAUUGCCUUCAAAACUGACGACCUAGAGUAUGGCAGAGGUGUGUGGAACUCCGAGUGUAGAGGUGAAAUUCGUAGAUAUUCGGAAGAACACCAGUGGCGAAGGCGACACACUGGGCCAUUACUGACGCUGAGGCGCGAAAGCGUGGGGAGCAAACAGG